UUAAGAAUUAUUUUUAUAUUUUGACUCGUUAACGCGACCUCGCAAUGUGAAAAAUAAGUACGUAAUUUCGAGGCACCUCGGGGAUUUGUGUUUAUUCACCUCGCCGCUGCGCGCCUUGGUGAAUAAAUCACAUAUCCCUUCGUUGCCUCAAAAUAACCUUUACAUGUCUAAUGAACUACAAUCUAUUUACAGGCCUGAUAUAAAAUUCUUUACGCCGCUUGUUGAAUAUUGUUGGUCGGAAAUUAUUU